UAGCUGUGUUGAUGAGCCUGUUGCCUCCUUAAAAUAGGAACGUCUAUCGUAUAUAAAUAGCCCAGCCCUAAAUGCGACGCCUUGUGAAAAGAAACUUCCAAAGGCCGGAAAAGAUCGGGGGCGCCAUUGGUGCUAAAUAAAAGGAAAACAAAAAAGCGUUACGAACGAAGUAUAUAUAAUUUCGUACCAGUUGCUCCAAUUCGAGUUCGUCGAAACAACUUUUUCACCUUUCUUUAUCCUUCAGGUAACAACAAUAAUUUUCCAAUGGCCCGGAAGUGGUAGGGCCUUUCCUGUGAUCACCUUGUUCUCUUCCAUGCCAUGGGGUGUAAAGUUCGUGUGCCAUCCGCCUUCUAGAAAGAAUUAUGGGAGAGAAAACGACGCACGAUGAAUUUUAUGACCGGAACAACGGUUCGCUUUGCCCAAACCCAGGUUAUCAACUGAAAUCUUGGGAGAUUGCCAAAAGGUUUUU